UACAGAGGUCCCAAGCGUUGUUCGGAUUCAUUGGGCGUAAAGGGUGCGUAGGCGGCGCGGUAAGUCGGGUGUGAAAUCUCGGAGCUUAACUCCGAAACUGCAUUCGAUACUGCCGUGCUUGAGGACUGGAGAGGAGACUGGAAUUUACGGUGUAGCUGGUGAAAUGCGUAGAUAUCGUAAGGAAGACCAGUGGCGAAGGCGGGUCUCUGGACAGUUCCUGACGCUGAGGCACGAAGGCCAGGGGAGCAAACGGG
rnacentral:rRNA from 1 species